UACGUAGGGCGCAAGCGUUGUCCGGAAUUAUUGGGCGUAAAGAGCGUGUAGGCGGCUUGGUAAGUCCGCUGUGAAAGUCCAGGGCUCAACCCUGGAAUGCCAGUGGAUACUGUCAAGCUAGAGUACGGAAGAGGCGAGUGGAAUUCCUGGUGUAGCGGUGAAAUGCGCAGAUAUCAGGAGGAACACCAAUUGCGAAGGCAGCUCGCUGGGACGUCACUGACGCUGAGACGCGAAAGCGUGGGGAGCAAACAGG
rnacentral:rRNA from 1 species